rnacentral:rRNA from 1 species
GAUGAACGCUGGCGGCGUGCCUAACACAUGCAAGUCGAACGAAGCACUUGAAUGGAAUUCUUCGGAAGGAAGCUUAAGUGACUGAGUGGCGGACGGGUGAGUAACGCGUGGGUAACCUGCCUCAUACAGGGGGAUAACAGUUAGAAAUGGCUGCUAAUACCGCAUAAGCACACAGCGCUGCAUGGCGCAGUGUGAAAAACUCCGGUGGUAUGAGAUGGACCCGCGUCUGAUUAGCUAGUUGGUAAGGUAACGGCUUACCAAGGCAACGAUCAGUAGCCGACCUGAGAGGGUGACCGGCCACAUUGGGACUGAGACACGGCCCAA